rnacentral:rRNA from 1 species
UACGAAGGGGGCUAGCGUUGUUCGGAUUUACUGGGCGUAAAGCGCACGUAGGCGGAUUGUUAAGUCAGGGGUGAAAUCCUGGAGCUCAACUCCAGAACUGCCUUUGAUACUGGCAAUCUCGAGUCCGGAAGAGGUAAGUGGAACUCCUAGUGUAGAGGUGGAAUUCGUAGAUAUUCGGAAGAACACCAGUGGCGAAGGCGACAUACUGGCUCAUUACUGACGCUGAGGCUCGAAAGCGUGGGGAGCAAACAGG